AAUUCAAAAAGGCUUGAAAGUUCCCAGGAUUAGAAGAUAGAAAAUACUUUGAGUCGUCACGAUGGCCUCGUAAGGGAAGAUUCUGUCUGCCUGCCAGUAUAAUAGUUUUAAUAAUAGAGCCUAAAACGUCACGAUUGUAUUGAAUGCGGGCAUUUCUAAGAUGAUCGGCUUGUUCGUCGAUGCCAAUAGUUUUACCUUUCAUCACACGUUGGAACUGCGACAAACGUAACUUGGAGUCACGGUGAAUUAGGGAAUAUUUGUCAUGCUGGUAAAAUUUUGUUGUCGCACUUUGCCAGUUUCUUAAGGGUUCCUUAAAUAAUUUACUAAGCUUUGAACCAUUAUGUCCUGUUUGAUGACCGAACAAAACGCAACAAUAACAAAAGGCUCCAUCAAAUAAUUUAGAGUAGCACAACCAGGACCAACGAUCUAGCCAGCCAGCACAAAAUUUUCUUGAAGAUUUACCAUUCUCAGAAAAAGGAAAAUUGAAAGAAGGGGGAGGCUUCCAGUGAUUUGUUAUAAGUCUUAGCUUUGUGUCAUCAUCUAGGGCCGCCACAGAUACAAAAUGUCCAAUAUCCAAGGGAUCAACAUCUGUCAUAUCAGUUUUUACAGAUUUUGACAAGGGACAAGAAGCAUUUGAUACUUUUCCAUCUUCAAAGUCGCAUGAAAGAGGAAGUCUUCAAGCAAUCAUAGCUGCUGCCAUCUAAGUCUUCCCUUGGUGAGGAUUUUGCAGGUGCUACCAAAGUUGUGUCUAUUUGUUGCUCAAGUCCACUUUUAUUUUUCUGUAAGACAUCAACUUUAAAGUGGUC